UUUCAUUUAUAAAUUUAUUUAAAAAGGCAUUUUUCGUCUUGGGAGACCACUGGACCAAUAUUUUACUGCAGUAAUAUGUGCAUAGGGCCUUAUACAGUAAUUUCAACUCCAACUAUGAACAUUUGUUUACAAUCAAAGUUCGACUAACUUUGAAAUGAACUUGCGAACUUCGUUGCGAAGUUCACGCCCAACUUCCGAACUUGACAACGCAAUUGGCAAGUUCGCAACAAACUUGGGAACAGCGUGUUGAAAAGUUACCUGAAAUCGACAAUAAUUUCCUUGACAAGUUUUAUUCGCUCAUGUUUAAGGCAAAAAAUGGACUUUUUUGCAAAGGAGCCUUGUUUCAAAGCUAGACAUGCGGAGCUUUUGGACAAGGAAUUUAGAUUUGUUCGUCGUGAGAUAAGUGUUUAAAAUUAAGGUUACUUCACACGAUGAAGGUGCGUUUUAGUCUUUUGGACAUUGCGCAACGAAUUUUAGGUGUAACUUUACCAAAUUUUUAGUGAAGAAAGCCAAGAAAAUGCUGAUUUCGAAAAUCUUCAUUUGGUGUGUGUUCAGUUUAAACAUUUUCAGUAUUGGCUGACUGAGUAAAUAUGUAGGUACCUUCAUAAAAAAAAUCAAAAUAUGUUUAGGGAC
rnacentral:lncRNA from 1 species